rnacentral:rRNA from 1 species
GACGAACGCUGGCGGCGUGCCUAAUACAUGCAAGUCGAACGGACAGAUGGUGGCUUGCUCCCAUGCCGGCGGCGGCGGACGGGGGAGUAACACGUAGGCAACCUCCCUGUAAUUCUGGGAUAACUCCGGGAAACCGGGGCUAAUCCCGGAUAACUCUUUCGCUCACAUGAGGGGAAGCUGAAAUAUGGCAUCUCGCUAUCACUUACAGGUGGGCCCGCGGCGCAGUAGCUAGUUGGUGAGAUAACGGCUCACCAGGGCGACGAUGCGUAGCCGACGUGAGGGGGUGAUAGGCCACACUGGAAGUGAGACACGGACAAGACUCCUACGGGAGGCACCAGUAGGCAACCUUACGCAAUGGACGGAAGUAUGACGGAGCAGCGCCGAGUGAGUGACGAAGGUGUCCGGAUCGGAAAACUCGGCUGUGAGGGAAGAACCAGUACCGGAGUAACCGACGGUAGAGUGACGGUAACUGGCCAGAAAGCCCCGGCUAACUACGUG